rnacentral:rRNA from 1 species
ACUCAAAGGAAUAGACGGGGGCCCGCACAAGCGGUGGAGCAUGUGGUUUAAUUCGACGCAACGCGAAGAACCUUACCUGGGCUCGAACGGCCUUCUAACGGCGGUAGAAAUACUGCUAUCCCGCAAGGGAGUAAGGUCGAGGUGCUGCAUGGCUGUCGUCAGCUCGUGUCGUGAGAUGUUGGGUUAAGUCCCGCAACGAGCGCAACCCUUGUCCUGUGUUGCUACUCCGCAAGGAAGCACUCUCAGGAGACCGCCAGCGAUAAGUUGGAGGAAGGUGGGGAUGACGUCAAGUCAUCAUGGCCUUUAUGUCCAGGGCUACACACGUGCUACAAUGGGCGGUACAAACCGACGCCAACCCGCGAGGGGGAGCAAAUCGGAAAAAACCGUUCUCAGUUCGGAUUGCAGGCUGCAACUCGCCUGCAUGAAGCUGGAAUCGCUAGUAAUGGUAUAUCAGAACGAUACCGUGAAUACGUUCCCGGGCCUUGUACACACCGCCCGU